GGGCUUGUGGCUCAGCGGUAGAGCGCUGGCCUAGCAGGUGCCAGGCCCUGGGUUCGAUCCUCAGCACCA
rnacentral:tRNA from 1 species